CACUUUUGACGUAAAAAUCGGGAAACCGGUGAUUUAUUUGUGUUAUUAACGGUGAUCGCCGAAGUUCUAAUUAGGAGAAGAGGAAGAUGAACGCCUACAAAUGAAACUAAAGUCGCAUUUAAGAGCGCAUCACAACACCUGAUGCGUUGCGUUUACAUGAUGCGGUGAUAUUGCGACAAUUUCGCGCGAUGCGCCCUUCGCAAAAUGCGCUAUGAUGUACGCAUCAUUGUUUGUUAUGUUUUUUUUCCCAGAUUUUAUGAAAUGGGUUGGGUUUUUUCAAUAAUUAAUAUUUUAGCAUGCUUGAUUUGAACCAUUAUGGUUCCUAAACACUUUUUAUGGUUCUAGAAACAUUUUAGGAAGCUUGAUUUGAACCAAAAAGCACAAUUCUUAUCUUAUUAUGUCGAUUGUUUUAGUCUAAAUAAUUUUUUAGUAUAUUUUUAUAAAGAGCGCAUCGAAUACGUGAUGCGCUCGCAUUACGCAUCACGCAUCGGAUUUUUGGACCAAACGCAUCGGAGCGCAUCACGCAAUUUAAAACCAAGUAUGUUACGGAUAUUAAUAGACAUGCAUACAUAGAUCAUUAUAUGCAUAUGUGUAUUUGCAUACAUAUGUUCAAUUGUUCAUCGUGUGGUUAAGCCUAUUUUCUUUCGUAAUCGAACUCCCAAGUAUGUUUUUGAGAAGACUGGUGAGGUGGGAAGCUCGUUAUCAGAGAAGACAAGCCAAGUCAUGUACAUGUGGCUAGCUAGUGAUGGAAAGGAGACUGAUAAAGAUGAUUGAAGUGUGAAAGCAUGUACAACUAGCUAGCACAUGGCAAAGGUUAAAUUUUAACUGGUAGUGCUGAAGAAACAGCAGAAGAGAAAGGUAAUUAUGCAUAUGAUGCUAUAACUGAUGGUGUGAGUAAAGAAAUGACCAUAGGUUCAGAUAUGGACCAAAGACACUGUGAAUGAUAUGAUGAUAGGGUAUUCAUAUGAGAAAGCAGAUCAAUACAAAUGCAAACAGACGCAGACGAAGGUUCCGAAGUCAAAGCAUUCAUGAAUCAAGGAGCGACGGUGGAUGGUAAACAAAUCUCUGCCAAUGACUAUGCAGUCAAACUGAUGCUUAUGAUGGCUUCGGAGAAGACCAGUGAAGCUAAAAGAUUCUUUAAAGAAGCAACAUUUCAAGGAAGCAUCAAGCUUUUGAUACAUACGGUGCAACUUAAGCUAAGGAUGAUGAAUCUUAAGGGGUUUCAAAGGAUUGUAUGAAGGAGCAGGCUAAGGAAAUCUACGAGGUUGCUAAAGAAAAAGCAUCAGAUGCUGCAGGCAACGGGAUGCAGCUAAAGCUGAGGUUGGUGACUCUUUGAUUUCAAAGGACUCAAUGAAGGGGCAGGCUAAAGAAAACUAUGAGGUUGCCAAGGAA
rnacentral:lncRNA from 1 species